rnacentral:lncRNA from 1 species
GGGGGGAGCUGCCUUUGGGCAGCUCGCAGUGAGAAACCAGGAGGUCAGAGAGAAGCAGCACUUGCUGCUGUGCAGGAGAAAAGAAACCAGGAGGUCAGAGAGAAGCAGCACUUGCUGCUGUGCAGGAGAAAAGAAACCGAGAGGAGGCAUUAGCCUCGAGGACAGAGAGCAAAAAUCUGCCUCUUGGCAGCAAAGGCAUCAGCACGGAGAACCAAGAAAAGAAUUGUGCAGUGCGAGAAAUAGAGAGCAGAACCUGUGGAGCGCCAAUUCACUCUCUCUCGGUUAAAUCUUUUCAAACUUCUAUUUUAUUUUUGUUUUAAUAAUGUGUAAUUAAAUUUAUUUUGGUUAGAGGUUAAUUCGAAACCAUGAAUAUAUUUGUAAUAUGAAUUGAUUACCUUCAGUUGUGAUUUAUAAGUUGUGAAUUCAAUUUACUUAUCCGUUCGUAUAAAAACUGAUUUGUGUAUGUUGGUUGAGAGUGCACGCUUAAUUUACAUGCAUGAAUUUGAUGCUAGAAUAUAAGUGAAUUUCACCUAAUCGUUAUGAACUUAUUUUCACAAGUAGUAAAGGUUGCUAGUCACAAUCACGUUAAGUAAAUUCUUGGCAAGAGUAUCAUGCUUUUUAUAGUUACGAAUGCCUCGUCAAUGCUUAUAGCUUUCACAAAGUUUAAUGAUCUUUGAUUGUAUCUCUAUUGUGCUUUUCACGUAGGGGACUUUUGAAGAAUGUUUUGAAUUGUUGUAUGCGUUUUCCCGUCCAAUUCAAUAACUUAAGGAAAAACUUGAAGAUUAAAAAAAGUGCUGUUCACGGUUAAUCUGGAGUAUUGAAAUUCACAAUUUAUUAAAAGAACAACUGGAAAUCAUUUUGUAUGCAAGUAUAACAUGUGUGGAGAAGAACCCUCUAACUAGUCCGUCAUUUAUCAUUUUACCUUAAUUUUAUGUUUUUGUCAAUUCUGUAAUUUAAUUAAGUUUAAUUUACUUUUCAUCAAAACCAAACACCCAUCCAUUAUUAAAUUAUAUUAUUUAGUUAGUUUUCUUUAUUGUUAGUCUUUUUAAUUCAAUUUCCGUCCAUUUCAGUUCUUAGUGUUUAAUAAGAUCAUUUUCAUUAUUUUGAGUCAUUUUAAGUGUGUUUCGAGUUAUUAGAGUUUUUUAGCCUAGUUUUGUAUCCUUGAGUCUUGUUUAAUAUUUUUAAAUUAAUUUAGGAUAGAUUAGCAAUCCCUCCUAAUCCCCGGCCUAGAACGAUACCCUACUUACAUCUAUACUACAAUUGUCAAAAAGAGGGUUUAAUUUUGUGUGUUAACUUAUUUUACGCAUCAAAUUUUGGCGCCGUUGCCGGGGAUUAGUAACUUUGCUAAUCCUUUUAUUUUUGUUUUUGUUUAUGUUUAUAUUGGUGUUUGUGUAUUUUACUUUUGAUAUUUGAUUUAUUUUUCUUUCUUUGAUUUUAGGUUCAAAUGGAGCCGAGGGAAAUUUAAAGGAAAGAUGCGUCCGGCUAAAGAUGUUAAAUCAAGCGCUUCUUGGGAGGCAACCCAAGCAUUCAACGAAGGGAGACUUUGGAAUCGCUAACCCAAUCAGCUUUGCAUUCUUCCACCCUUAUCUUUGCUGCUUUCAUUUUGUUUUGUUUAGUUAGUUGUGUUAUUUGGUUGAUUUCUGUGAGUUUGUGUUAUUUAGUUUAAGUGUGGGGGAAGGUUAACCAAAAGUCUCUUUACAUUAAUUUACAUUUAAAAAAAAAAAAAAAAAAAAAAAAAGAUAAAAAUUUAAAAUUAAUGAAAAAAAAAAUAAACAUAAAAAAAAAAAAAAAAAAAUGCAAAUAUUUUUACAAUAAUGUAAAACUAAUAGUAUUCAUUGGUCGGGUGGGUGCUUCAGUAGUGGGCGGGGCUUCAGCAGUCGGCGGGGCCAUAGAAGGAGGAGGCAGCAGAGGUUGAUCAGUUGGAGCUUCACUACGCGGUGCCGCUCCAGAAGACGAAGGCAGAUGUUGUUGGAACAAACCCACAAACCUCCGAUGAUCAAGUAAAAUUUGACCAUCGGUGUCCUGCAUCUGGUCAAUCUUCCUCUUCAUGCUGUGGCAUAGCUGUGUGCGAGCUUGUGCAAUUCCUUAUUCUCAUGCUUGAGCCCUUUAAUCUCUUGCUUGAGACUCUGUAUUUCAGCCACCAAGGAUUCAACGUGACGGGUUUCGGGCAUAUAGGCGUUGGGCCAUGUUGGAUACGGAACCCGCACACUGCACGCUAAGAGCCAGAGACUCCUUAACCGCCAAUUCAUCAGAUCGUCUAGCGAGCAGUCUGUUAUCUCUUGGGGUGACAAGGUUUCGGGCCACCACCGCAGCUGUCAUAUCAUUUUUUAUCACCGAAUCCCCCACGGUAAGGGGACCGGUAGGGGAUAUGAAGGAUGGCCGCCAUAUGUUGUCUGGUGAAGGCGGAGCUGCCUCUUCACCAAUGUUCAAGUCAAAACGACGAUCGGAAGGGCCAGACAUUUUUCAGAGGUGGUGAAGAAAGAAGAGAGUCGGAAUGAUCAAGAUUAAACAAGUGCAAGAAGGGAGUGUUUACAGGAGGGAGCUCAAGUGUGUUGUGGAACAAGCUUAACGUCUCUAUAAAAAGGAAGAAAUCAAAGAGGCGCUCCUCAGAGAAGCGUCCUCUCGCAAAUCGAAGAGUCGGGGCUCCGUUCUCAAACGUCUGAUUCUUUUCUCAAAAGAGGAGUUUCCUUUCUCAAAAGCCGGAUUCUUUUCUCAAAAGAGGCGUUUCAUUUCUUAAAGGCUGGGCUUGCUCAGAAACCACGAGCCGAACCCCGGAUUUCAAAAAGAUCAAUUUGUCCAGACGUGUCGUCACUUGUCACACGCAAAUUGCUUUGCGGAAAUCUCGGGCAGUUUGUCGAAGCACCAAUUCAGAAAUCGAAGAGGGAAAUUCAACAGUCAAAGACACGAUAGCUUUCUCAAAAGCUGGGCUUCAACCCACGGGAAAAUCUUUCUUUUCCAGAUUUAUCCGCACGUGUCACAUGCUACCUCUACAAUCGACGAUGCUCAGAGCUCGAAGCGCCGAUUCCAGAUAUCAAUGAGGAAUCAGCUUUGCGGAAAUUACGGGCAGCUUUGUCAGAAAGCGCGUAAUUUGUAUUCUCACCCAUCCACCGGCUGCCGACACUAAGUGAGAGAACAGUUCCGGUUGUGAAGACAAGUCCUAUAAGUUUCUACCUUCGCCUUCCACAGCAAAAGCACACUCUCUCAGCACACCCUCUCAACACCUCUUCAUCUCCGAAAAUGCAUUCCCAAAGAAAUCCUCUCGAGUCACUCUGUGUUCCUCAUUUCCUUGGGAUACUCCCUGCGAACAACCCAUUCAAAGCAAAAGUAUUUCAUAUCAUAAAGGUUGAAAGCAAGAGUAUCUCAUAUCAUGCUUUCUCCAUGUCCUUCUCCUUGUCUUUGUUUUCCGACAAGGAGAAAAGAGAGCAAUCAGCCAGCAUUUGGUAUCAAUCUUCCGAUCUGGAGCCAACUGCCUGGAACCCCCUUCCUGAUUGCUUACCUAGCCUUGCUCUCGAGUACUCAUCUUCAUCAUUUUAUGCUUUCUCUUCGUCUACCACAUCUGCCUGGGGGACAGUAAGGGAAGUGAAAAUGAUACCUCGAAGCAUGUGGAGACAAUUCAGCUAGGGACAAGGAGAAAGAAAGCAAGAGGUGGGCACUUGGAAAGAUUGAAGAAAGAAAUAAUGACCAACACCUUUCCCUCUCGUGCCUGCCCGUUGUGCAGAAGAAACAAGCAGAGAAGAAUGCAGCUUGCACAAUCAUCCCAGCGGAAGGAGUCCGAACUGAGGAACUAGAGAAGCUGCCACAUCUGCUUGGAGAACAAAUAAGGAACUGCAACAUAACCAAAGAGCAAAGCUCCGCCGUACAAUAUCAUCAAAUAGUAAAAAGCUAAGUGUCACCCUGUUCAAGAGGAAAGCUGUGGAAAGUCAACAAGCACGACCAAUGAUUACUUAUUAGUUUUAUUCAUUAUCUUUUAUCGUAAUUUUCAAUUUUUCGUUUGCAAUUUUUUUUUUAAUUAAUUUUCUUGCGUACUUAACUGAAUUAUUUCUUUUCUUUGCAGGAACUUUUGGUUAUUUCCACCCUUGAAGUUGAUUGCAGAAUUUUAGCUUGGGGGUCAUCGCUUGAUUUUACUGCAAAUUAGGGAAGUUUUCAGUCCAAUUGCUUUAUUUUGUUUUUUUUUAUUAUUUUGUUUAUUUUAUUUAUUUUUGCAUUAUAGUGUUUUCUGACAUUGGGGACAAUGUCCAGUUUAAGUGUGGGGGUAGAAAUCUCCAGAAUUUCAUUUGUUUCUGUGUUGUUGUUUUUUGUGUUCUUAAUUAGUUUUGUUUUUUUUAAAAAAAAAAAAAAAAAAAAAAAAAGUUAAAAAAAAAAAAAAAUCGGAAAAUUUAAAAAUCCAAAAAAUAUUGUCUUGUUUCCCUUAUUGUUCUGAAUCAGAUUUUUGUUAGUUUCCCGACCCAAUGAUAUAAUUGGAUCAAAAAUUUGAACCAUGAUCAUCAAGAACUUAGUUAACAUGUGUUUGGUGAAAUUCCUAAUUCUCUUGUUAGUUUUGUACAUGUUUGAUCAUCUUUGAAAAACCAAAUGCACAUAGCCUUGUUAAUGUGAAACUAAAGUAUGACUUAAAGCUUCAUAUGUGAAUUUAGUGACCAUAUACAUCCUAUGUGAGUUUUUGAGCCUAUUGAAAGUGUGCAUUUUUCAUACACUCCUAUUCUUUCAUGUGUGAUGAACUUAUGUGAGAUACAUCUCUAGAACUUGCGUAACGAUCUUUCGAAAUGUUUGUCAUUGAUUGCAUGAACUUGGAAAUGAUAGAGGCAUUAGGUUUUACCACUAUGGCCCAAAUAACUAUGUUCCCCAAAGAAAAAUGAUAUCAUUAGAUUGCCAAUUUGAGCCGUGUAUGUUGAGCCUUUUAUUUCUUAUUUCCAGAUAUGUCUACCCUUAUACCUGAAACAUUUUUUUUUCCUUACCCUUUCCAAAGCAAGCUAGUGAGCAAUGUGAGAUUGUCUUAUGAGAAAUGUUGUAAAGUACUUUGAAGGUGUUUGGCAAAAAAAAUAAGUGUGGGGGUAUUUCAUGUUUGUAUAAAAAAAAAAAAAAAAAAAAAGAAGAAAAAAGAAAAAGAAAGAUUGUAUACGAAGAAAAAAGAAAAAAAAAAAAUUGUUUUUCAAGUUUCAGUUUAAGGGUGUGAUUGGAGGUUUCUGAAGAAUCGUUGGAGAGCUUGAGUUCUUAUAAAUCUAGACAAAAGAAUUGCUUGCAAUGUAGCUUGGAACUUGUGUUUUCCUAUUCUUUCGUUUCAAUAACCCUAUCCCUAAGCCUCAUUACAUCCAAUAAAAGUCCUCUUGAUUUAAGUUUUGCAAUUAUGACUGUGGAGAAGUGAUCUUUAUGCAAGCUUAUGGUAGAAAUUUUACAUUUGUUUCUUUGAGCGAAACACAUUAAAACUAAACACAUGUGUGAUUGAGUGCAUAUCCCGUGAGAAGGUCGCUAGUUUGCAUAUGAUGAUUUUAAAAAUAAAAACUUGAAAUUGCAUUAGCAUGGCUAUCUCACACACUACACUUCAAGGAUGAUUUAAAGAUUACUGCUAAUAUUUGAAUAAGGAAGAUGAACUUGGAUUAUUUCCUUGAUGCUAGCUAUGGUUCUUGAUGAUUUGUUUUCUCGAAUGAAAUUCUAUGAGGGUCACAUAGAGGGAAGCUAAUGUUUUUCUUGUUACUUCUUGUUCUAAUUUUCUUUGUUUUGCUCGAGGACUAGCAAAAGUUAAGUGUGGGGGUAUUUGAUCGGAUCAUAUUUAUAUAUAUUUUUACUUCGAAUUCACUCGUCUUUUCUUAGUUAGUUCCUUAUAUUUUUGAGCUAUUUACGUUAUUUUUGUGUUUAUAGGAUUUGUUAUGCAAAGAAAAUAAAAAUAGAACAAGUGAAAUUUUAUGUAAUAAAUUCGUCAAAACUGUCUGUGUAGAUCAGCUUUUAAAUUAAAUUAAAAAUUAUAUAUUUAAUAAUGAUAAGUCGUGAUGAUGUUGAAAAAUCAUCAUGAUGGUUUUGUUUUGUAGAAAAAAAAAAAAAGAAAGAAAACGGUGGAAAGAAAGAGUUGGACAAAGAAAGGAAAGAAUCCAAGGCAAAAGAGGAGUAGAUGCGGGGAGUGUGAAGGAAGACAGGAAAAAGAAUAGAAUAAGAGUCCAGGUGGCGCAAAGAAUAAAAAAAAGGGGACGGACAGUCCACACGGGAAGCUGCCCUUGGGGGCAGCGGGAAAGAAAGAAGGCAGUAGGCGCAGGUUACAGGGGUGAUACGGGAAUAAGAGGCGAGAGAGCAGUGAGGGAAGCUGCCCUUGGGGGGAGCUGCCUUUGGGCAGCUCGCAGUGAGAAACCAGGAGGUCAGAGAGAAGCAGCACUUGCUGCUGUGCAGGAGAAAAGAAACCAGGAGGUCAGAGAGAAGCAGCACUUGCUGCUGUGCAGGAGAAAAGAAACCGAGAGGAGGCAUUAGCCUCGAGGACAGAGAGCAAAAAUCUGCCUCUUGGCAGCAAAGCAUCAGCACGGAGAACCAAGAAAAGAAUUGUGCAGUGCGAGAAAUAGAGAGCAGAACCUGUGGAGCGCCAAUUCACUCUCUCUCGGUUAAAUCUUUUCAAACUUCUAUUUUAUUUUUGUUUUAAUAAUGUGUAAUUAAAUUUAUUUUGGUUAGAGGUUAAUUCGAAACCAUGAAUAUAUUUGUAAUAUGAAUUGAUUACCUUCAGUUGUGAUUUAUAAGUUGUGAAUUCAAUUUACUUAUCCGUUCGUAUAAAAACUGAUUUUGUGUAUGUUGGUUGAGAGUGCACGCUUAAUUUACAUGCAUGAAUUUGAUGCUAGAAUAUAAGUGAAUUUCACCUAAUCGUUAUGAACUUAUUUUCACAAGUAGUAAAGGUUGCUAGUCACAAUCACGUU